AGGAAAAAAAGAAUAAAUCAGUCUUGCCACCAUUCAUGAUUUAUUCAUGAGACACCUUAAGUCUCUGCUCAGAUCCACAGUUCUGUAAAUGCAAAACUGGCAAGGCUUGCCUGGCUCCAGUUUGCUCUCCGGUUAUUCUACAAUGGGAAGAUUGCAAGCAACACUGAACUGCCCUUAAUAUCAGAGUAUCCAGUCUCCGACAGUGACAACCUGUGACUGCAUGAGGAGAGUGUAGGAGAAAAAAAAGCAUGCACAAAACGACUCUUUCCCAGGAGAGGACCUUGGAUUUAGCAAACACAAAGAUCCAUCUCUGUUUGAGAUCUAAUGGAGGCA